AGGAUGAACGCUGGCGGCGUGCCUAACACAUGCAAGUCGAGCGAUUCUCUUCGGAGAAGAGCGGCGGACGGGUGAGUAACGCGUGGGUAACCUGCCCUGUACACACGGAUAACAUACCGAAAGGUAUGCUAAUACGAGAUAAUAUACUUUUAUCGCAUGGUAGAAGUAUCAAAGCUCCGGCGGUACAGGAUGGACCCGCGUCUGAUUAGCUAGUUGGUAAGGUAACGGCUUACCAAGGCGACGAUCAGUAGCCGACCUGAGAGGGUGAUCGGCCACAUUGGAACUGAGACACGGUCCAAACUCCUACGGGAGGCAGUAGUGGGGAAUAUCGCACAAUGGGCGAAAGCCUGAUGCAGCAACGCCGCGUGAGCGAUGAAGGCCUUCGGGUCGUAAAGCUCUGUCCUCAAGGAAGAUAAUGACGGUACUUGAGGAGGAAGCCCCGGCUAACUACGUGCCAGCAGCCGCGGUAAUACGUAGGGGGCUAGCGUUAUCCGGAAUUACUGGGCGUAAAGGGUGCGUAGGUGGUUUCUUAAGUCAGAGGUGAAAGGCUACGGCUCAACCGUAGUAAGCCUUUGAAACUGGGAAACUUGAGUGCAGGAGAGGAGAGUGGAAUUCCUAGUGUAGCGGUGAAAUGCGUAGAUAUUAGGAGGAACACCAGUUGCGAAGGCGGCUCUCUGGACUGUAACUGACACUGAGGCACGAAAGCGUGGGGAGCAAACAGGAUUAGAUACCCUGGUAGUCCACGCCGUAAACGAUGAGUACUAGCUGUCGGAGGUUACCCCCUUCGGUGGCGCAGCUAACGCAUUAAGUACUCCGCCUGGGAAGUACGCUCGCAAGAGUGAA
rnacentral:rRNA from 1 species